rnacentral:rRNA from 1 species
UACGUAGGGUGCGAGCUUUAAUCGGAAUUACUGGGCGUAAAGCGUGCGCAGGCGGUUCGUUAAGUUCGUUGUGAAAGCCCCGGGCUCAACCUGGGAACUGCAAUGGAAACUGGCGGGCUUGAAUGCGGCAGAGGGGGGUGGAAUUCCGCGUGUAGCAGUGAAAUGCGUAGAGAUGCGGAGGAACACCGAUGGCGAAGGCAGCCCCCUGGGUCAAGAUUGACGCUCAUGCACGAAAGCGUGGGGAGCAAACAGG